rnacentral:rRNA from 1 species
AGUUUGAUCCUGGCUCAGAACGAACGCUGGCGGCGCGUCUUAAGCAUGCAAGUCGAACGGCAAGGAAGUGCUUGCACUUCCCUAGAGUGGCGGACUGGUGAGUAACACGUGGGUGACAUACCUUUUAGUUGGGGAUAGCUAUUAGAAAUAGUAGAUAAUACCGAAUGUGACCAUUACAGUUAGAGUGUAAUGAGGAAAGGAGCUAAGGCUCCGCUAAAAGAUUGGCCCGCGGCCCAUUAGCUAGUUGGUGAGGUAACGGCCCACCAAGGCGAUGAUGGGUAUCCGGCCUGAGAGGGUGAUCGGACACAUUGGGACUGAGAUACGGCCCAGACUCCUACGGGAGGCAGCAGCUAAGAAUAUUCCACAAUGGACGAAAGUCUGAUGGAGCGACGCCGCGUGGAUGAUGAAGGCCGAAAGGUUGUAAAAUCCUUUUAAACUGGAAGAAUAAGCAUGGUAGGGAAUGACCGUGUGGUGACCGUACAGUUUGAAUAAGCAACGGCUAAUUACGUGCCAGCAGCCGCGGUAACACGUAAGUUGCGAGCGUUGUUCGGAAUUAUUGGGCGUAAAGGGCAUGUAGGCGGUUUUGAAAGCUUGAUGUGAAAUCCCACAGCUUAACUGUGGAACUGCAUUGAGAACUACAAGACUAGAGUUACUGAAGGGAAACUAGAAUUCCAAGUGUAGGGGUGAAAUCUGUAGAUAUUUGGAAGAAUACCAAUGGCGAAGGCAAGUUUCUGGCAGAUAACUGACGCUGAGGUGCGAAGGUGCGGGGAGCAAACAGGAUUAGAUACCCUGGUAGUCCGCACAGUAAACGAUGUACACUAGGUGUUUGACCAUGAGGUUGGGUGCCAAAGCUAACGUGAUAAGUGUACCGCCUGGGAAGUAUGCCCGCAAGGGUGA